rnacentral:rRNA from 1 species
GUGGGGAAUCUUCCGCAAUGGACGAAAGUCUGACGGAGCAACGCCGCGUGAGUGAAGAAGGUUUUCAGAUCGUAAAGCUCUUUCGUUAGGGACGAACGUGCUCUUUGUGAAUAAUGAGGAGUAAUGACGGUACCUAAAUAAGAAGCCACGGCUAACUACGUGCCAGCAGCCGCGGUAAUACGUAGGUGGCAAGCGUUGUCCGGAAUUAUUGGGCGUAAAGCGCGCGCAGGCGGGAUAUCAAGUCUGUCUUAAAAGUGCGAGGCUCAACCUCGUGAGGGGACAGAAACUGGUAUUCUUGAGUGUCGGAGAGGAAAGUGGAAUUCCAAGGGUAGCGGUGAAAUGCGUAGAGAUUUGGAAGAACACCAGUGGCGAAGGCGACUUUCUGGACGAUGUCUGACGCUGAGGCGCGAAAGCUAGGGGAGCGAACGGGAUUAGAAACCCGAGUAGUCC